AGACCCGGGUCCGCCGCGUGCCGGGGCGCGGGGGAGCCCGGGGGGCGCCGACGGCUCGACAAAGUUGGGCGUGUGCGUGUGUGCGUGUGCGCGCCAGCCUGGAGCUAGCAGGCAGCCGCCGUGGUUCCCCUCGCACUCCCCCUCCAGAGAAUUCCCCGAGAAGGAGGGCGCCGGCUUCGGGCCGGGGAUAGACCUGCGGCGGCGGCGGGAACGGCCACGCACAGAUCACAGACCUUGAUUGCAUUUUCCAACUACCCUAGCAACUAAAUGCAGUUAACUACAAUGACCUGGGAUGCCAGAACUACACGCCAGAAUUUGAAUCCAUGAACUGGCAUAUGAGGAAGGAGCUAUCCACUGACCAGCAAACACUUUUUGGACUAUUAUGCUAUGGAUUUCAAACCACAGACUGGGAACCUAGAAAUUUGAUACUUCUGGAUAAGAGAUUGAGGCCUAUUACAAAAAUCAAGAAAAGAAAGGAUUUUAGAGAGAAGACUAUAGAAUGUGAUUUGCUCACUCCUCCGGGACUAAGGAUACUUUGAAUUCUUUUGUUCAGUUCUUUCUGAAAGCUGAAGAUCAG